AGUGAACGCUGGCGGUAGGCCUAACACAUGCAAGUCGAACGGCAGCACAGGAGCUCUUGCUCUCUGGGUGGCGAGUGGCGGACGGGUGAGGAAUACAUCGGAAUCUGCCCAGUCGUGGGGGAUAACGUAGGGAAACUUACGCUAAUACCGCAUACGACCUUCUGGUGAAAGAGGGGGAUCGGAAGACCUCUCGCGAUUGGAUGAGCCGAUGUCGGAUUAGCGAGUUGGCGGGGUAAUGGCCCACCAAGGCGACGAUCCGUAGCUGGUCUGAGAGGCUGAUCAGCCACACUGGAACUGAGACACGGUCCAGACUCCUACGGGAGGCAGCAGUGGGGAAUAUUGGACAAUGGGCGCAAGCCUGAUCCAGCCAUACCGCGUGGGUGAAGAAGGCCUUCGGGUUGUAAAGCCCUUUUGUUGGGAAAGAAAUCUUUCAGGCUAAUACCCUGGGAGGAUGACGGUACCCAAAGAAUAAGCACCGGCUAACUUCGUG
rnacentral:rRNA from 1 species